GAUGAACGCUAGCGGCAGGCUUAAUACAUGCAAGUCGAGGGGUAACAUGGGUAGCAAUACCUGAUGACGACCGGCAAACGGGUGCGGAACACGUACGCAACCUUCCCAAAACUGGUGAAUAGACCCUCCGAAAGGAGGAUUAAUACACCGUAAGAUAAUGAGACGGCAUCGCCUUAUUAUUAUAGGCUUCGGUCGGUUUUGGAUGGGCGUGCGCCUGAUUAGGUAGUUGGCGGGGUAACGGCCCGACCAACGCCUGCGAUCAGUAACUGGUGUGAGAGCACGACCAGUCACACGGGCACUGAGACACGGGCCCGGACUCCUACGGGAGGCGAGCAGUAAGGAA
rnacentral:rRNA from 1 species